GCGUGAGUGAUGAAGGCCUUAGGGUUGUAAAGCUCUUUUACCCGGGAUGAUAAUGACAGUACCGGGAGAAUAAGCUCCGGCUAACUCCGUGCCAGCAGCCGCGGUAAUACGGAGGGAGCUAGCGUUGUUCGGAAUUACUGGGCGUAAAGCGCACGUAGGCGGUUAUUCAAGUCAGAGGUGAAAGCCUGGAGCUCAACUCCAGAACUGCCUUUGAAACUAGAUAACUAGAAUCUUGGAGAGGCGGGUGGAAUUCCGAGUGUAGAGGUGAAAUUCGU
rnacentral:rRNA from 1 species